rnacentral:rRNA from 1 species
GACGAACGCUGGCGGCGUGCUUAACACAUGCAAGUCGAACGGUGAAGCGCCUUCCUUUUUGGUGGGUGUGGAUGAGUGGCGAACGGGUGAGUAACACGUGAGUAACCUGCCCCCUUCUUCUGGAUAACCGCAUGAAAGUGUGGCUAAUACGGGAUAUUCUGGGUCUGUCGCAUGAUGGGUCUGGGAAAGAUAUUGUUUCGGUGGGGGAUGGGCUCGCGGCCUAUCAGCUUGUUGGUGGGGUGAUGGCCUACCAAGGCGGUGACGGGUAGCCGGCCUGAGAGGGUGGACGGCACCACUGGGGAUGAGCCACGGCCCAGACUCCGACGGGAGGCAGCAGUGGGGAAUAUUGCACGAUGGGCGCAAGCCUGAUGCAGCGACGCCGCGUGAGGGAUGGAGGCCUUCGGGUUGUGAACCUCUUUCGCCAGUGAAGCAGGCCUGCCUCGUUUGUGGGUGGGUUGACGGUAGCUGGAUAAGAAGCGCCGGCUAACUACGUG